rnacentral:rRNA from 1 species
AGAGUUUGAUCCUGGCUCAGGAUGAACGCUGACAGAAUGCUUAACACAUGCAAGUCUACUUGAAUUUGGGUUUUUUAACUUAGAUUUGGGUGGCGGACGGGUGAGUAACGCGUAAAGAACUUGCCUCACAGCUAGGGACAACAUUUAGAAAUGAAUGCUAAUACCUGAUAUUAUGAUUUUAAGGCAUCUUAGAAUUAUGAAAGCUAUAUGCACUGUGAGAGAGCUUUGCGUCCCAUUAGCUAGUUGGAGAGGUAACGGCUCACCAAGGCGAUGAUGGGUAGCCGGCCUGAGAGGGUGAACGGCCACAAGGGGACUGAGACACGGCCCUUACUCCUACGGGAGGCAGCAGUGGGGAAUAUUGGACAAUGGACCAAGAGUCUGAUCCAGCAAUUCUGUGUGCACGAUGAAGUUUUUCGGAAUGUAAAGUGCUUUCAGUUGGGAAGAAAAAAAUGACGGUACCAACAGAAGAAGUGACGGCUAAAUACGUGCCAGCAGCCGCGGUAAUACGUAUGUCACAAGCGUUAUCCGGAUUUAUUGGGCGUAAAGCGCGUCUAGGUGGUUAUGUAAGUCUGAUGUGAAAAUGCAGGGCUCAACUCUGUAUUGCGUUGGAAACUGCAUGACUAGAGUACUGGAGAGGUAAGCGGAACUACAAGUGUAGAGGUGAAAUUCGUAGAUAUUUGUAGGAAUGCCGAUGGGGAAGCCAGCUUACUGGACAGAUACUGACGCUAAAGCGCGAAAGCGUGGGUAGCAAACAGGAUUAGAUACCCUGGUAGUCCACGCCGUAAACG